rnacentral:rRNA from 1 species
AGAGUUUGAUCCUGGCUCAGGAUGAACGCUGGCGGCAUGCCUAAUACAUGCAAGUCGAACGAAGCCUCUAGGAAGCUUGCUUCCAAAGAGACUUAGUGGCGAACGGGUGAGUAACACGUAGGUAACCUGCCCAUGUGUCUGGGAUAACUGCUGGAAACGGUAGCUAAAACCGGAUAGGUAUACGGAGCGCAUGCUCGGUAUAUUAAAGCACCCUUCAAGGUGUGAACAUGGAUGGACCUGCGGCGCAUUAGCUAGUUGGUGAGGUAACGGCCCACCAAGGCGAUGAUGCGUAGCCGGCCUGAGAGGGUAAACGGCCACAUUGGGACUGAGACACGGCCCAAACUCCUACGGGAGGCAGCAGUAGGGAAUUUUCGUCAAUGGGGGGAACCCUGAACGAGCAAUGCCGCGUGAGUGAAGAAGGUCUUCGGAUCGUAAAGCUCUGUUGUAAGUGAAGAACGGCUCAUAGAGGAAAUGCUAUGGGAGUGACGGUAGCUUACCAGAAAGCCACGGCUAACUACGUGCCAGCAGCCGCGGUAAUACGUAGGUGGCAAGCGUUAUCCGGAAUCAUUGGGCGUAAAGGGUGCGUAGGUGGCGUACUAAGUCUGUAGUAAAAGGCAAUGGCUCAACCAUUGUAAGCUAUGGAAACUGGUAUGCUAGAGUGCAGAAGAGGGCGAUGGAAUUCCAUGUGUAGCGGUAAAAUGCGUAGAUAUAUGGAGGAACACCAGUGGCGAAGGCGGUCGCCUGGUCUGUAACUGACACUGAGGCACGAAAGCGUGGGGAGCAAAUAGGAUUAGAUACCC